rnacentral:rRNA from 1 species
UACGGAGGGUGCGAGCGUUGUCCGGAAUCACUGGGCGUAAAGGGCGCGUAGGCGGCGCGGGCAGUCAACGGUGAAAGCUUGGGGCUCAACCCCGAGUCGGCCGUCGAUACUCCCCGGGCUGGAGCACUGUAGAGGCAGGUGGAAUUCCGGGUGUAGCGGUGGAAUGCGUAGAGAUCCGGAAGAACACCGGUGGCGAAGGCGGCCUGCUGGGCAGGUAGCUGACGCUGAGGCGCGACAGCGUGGGGAGCAACAGGAUUGAGA